GCUGCAUUCAGGGACCCUGUUGAUACUAUAUUAUCCCAUUUGAUGAGAUGUUGCCAGUAUUUUCUGUUGGAAACUCAGCUUUUAAUCUUGGUGCUUUGCACAAAUCUUUUACACUAGGAUCUUCUGUGAUUAAUUUUCAUGCAGCUAAUUGUCACACUUUUACUGUAUGGAUCCUAAAACUUAUUUAUAGCUGCUUUCAGGAUCUUACUGGUAUUAUGUUAUCCUUGAUGAUG
rnacentral:lncRNA from 1 species